UGAAAUAGCUUCAUGCAUUUGGUGAGCUCUGCUUUCUAAGGUUCAUACAUUUACUUCAGCACCAACUCCAGCGAAAGGGUUCAUACAUUUAAAUCCAUUUCCCUUUUAGAAGCUAUGCAUUCAGGCAGUAGCUUCAUCAGUACCUUCUCCAUGGUCCACAACAACAGAACAGGGCAAAAGAAGGCUGCAUGCAUCAAAGGUGACUCAGUCCCACCAUUCUUUGCUUACCCACAAAAAGCCUACUAUUAUAUCUUGAGCAUAUGAUUCAUUUCUUCAUGUGGAUUACUAGUAGUAUUGUUC
rnacentral:lncRNA from 1 species